rnacentral:rRNA from 1 species
AAUAGAUACCCGGGUAGUCCACCCCGUAAACGUUGGGAACUAGUUGUGGGGUCCAUUCCACGGAUUCCGUGACGCAGCUAACGCAUUAAGUUCCCCGCCUGGGGAGUACGGCCGCAAGGCUAAAACUCAAAGGAAUUGACGGGGACCCGCACAAGCGGCGGAGCAUGCGGAUUAAUUCGAUGCAACGCGAAGAACCUUACCAAGGCUUGACAUAUACGAGAACGCUGCAGAAAUGUAGAACUCUUUGGACACUCGUAAACAGGUGGUGCAUGGUUGUCGUCAGCUCGUGUCGUGAGAUGUUGGGUUAAGUCCCGCAACGAGCGCAACCCUCGUUCUAUGUUGCCAGCACGUAAUGGUGGGAACUCAUGGGAUACUGCCGGGGUCAACUCGGAGGAAGGUGGGGAUGACGUCAAAUCAUCAUGCCCCUUAUGUCUUGGGCUUCACGCAUGCUACAAUGGCCGGUACAAAGGGCUGCAAUACCGUAAGGUGGAGCGAAUCCCAAAAAGCCGGUCCCAGUUCGGAUUGAGGUCUGCAACUCGACCUC